rnacentral:miRNA from 1 species
UGAGGCACGGGAGGACAAUGU